UUCCGGUUGAUCCCGCCGGACCCCACUGCUAUCGGGAUGGGACUAAGACAUGCUAGUUAAGCGCCUUCCAGCAAUGUGGGAGGUGCGGCGCACAGCUCAGUAACACGUGGCUAACCUGCCCUUGGGACGAAAAUAACCCCGGGAAACUGGGGCUAAUUUUCGAUAGGUGAAGAACUCUGGAAUGAGUCUUCGCCCAAAGGGUGUCGGAUCAUGCUUUCGGCAUUGCCCAAGGAUGGGGCCGCGACCGAUCAGGUAGUUGGUGAGGUAAUGGCUCACCAAGCCUUUUACCGGUGCGGGCCGUGAGAGCGGGAGCCCGGAGAUGGGCACUGAGACAAGGGCCCAGGUCCUACGGGGCGCAGCAGUCGCGAAACCUUUGCAAUACACGAAAGUGUGACAGGGUCAUCCCGAGUGCCGACCGCUGAGGUUGGCUUUUACCCAGUCUAGAAAGCUGGGGGAAUAAGGAGAGGGCAAGUCUGGUGUCAGCCGCCGCGGUAAUACCAGCUCUCCGAGUGGUGUGGACGUUUAUUGGGCCUAAAGCAUCCGUAGCUGGCUGAACAAGUCCCCUGUUAAACCCACCGAUUUAAUCGUUGGCUUGCGGGGGAAACUGCUCGGCUAGGGGACGAGAGAGGCAAGCGGUAUUCUCGGGGUAGGGGUGAAAUCCUAUAAUCCCGAGAAGACCACCAGUGGCGAAGGCUGCUUGCUAGAACGCGCCCGACGGUGAGGGAUGAAAGCUGGGGGAGCGAACCGGAUUAGAUACCCGGGUAGUCCCAGCUGUAAACGAUGCAGACUAGGUGUUUGGACGGCCACGUGCCGUUCUAGUGCCGCAGGGAAGCUGUUAAGUCUGCCGCCUGGGGAGUACGAUCGCAAGAUUGAAACUUAAAGGAAUUGGCGGGGGAGCACCACAAGGGGUGAAGCUUGCGGUUUAAUUGGAUUCAACGCCGGG
rnacentral:rRNA from 1 species